UUAUUAUUCUUUUUGUAGCAUUAUUUUCAUCGCGACGAAUUUAUUGGCAGAAUAAACGAAAUUGUUUAUUUCCUUCCUUUCUCACGUAGCGAGUUACAGAAACUCGUUGAGCAAGAACUGAUAGUUUGGCAAAAAAGAGCCAUGGAAAGACAUCAGAUUAAGUUGACAUGGGAUAGAGAAGUCCUUGAUGUCGUUUCUGAUGGCUACAAUGUUAAGUAUGGAGCUAGAUCAAUUCAUCACGAAGUUGAGAGAACGGUUGUUAAUCAGUUGGCUCUAGCUUAUGAGAAGGAAUACAUCAGCAAAGGAAGUUCAGUUCAUUUGAUUGUAAAGAAAGAAGGCAAUGAAGGAAGAGGACCACUUGUAUCUAUAAAAGUUUUAAAUGAUAAAAACUCACUGGGAACUAAACAAACAAAAUCUUUAGCUAAGUCAAUACUUCCUUUUAGUCAAUGACUGUUAGCUUUGAAUAAUAACAAAUCCUUUAAUUAAACC